AUUUUGGGCUGCUAACUCAUAACGAACAUGGUUCUUGCCUUUUACCAGAACCAUCCGGGUGUUGUCUUUUCCGGGGGCAAGUUUUACAGUGCUGCUUACUUUUUGGAACUUUUCCCAUUUUUGUUAGAU
rnacentral:snRNA from 1 species